rnacentral:rRNA from 1 species
UAAUGACGGUACCUGAAGAAUAAGCACCGGCUAACUACGUGCCAGCAGCCGCGGUAAUACGUAGGGUGCAAGCGUUAAUCGGAAUUACUGGGCGUAAAGCGUGCGCAGGCGGUUUUGUAAGUCUGUCGUGAAAGCCCCGGGCUCAACCUGGGAAUUGCGAUGGAGACUGCAAGGCUUGAAUCUGGCAGAGGGGGGUAGAAUUCCACGUGUAGCAGUGAAAUGCGUAGAGAUGUGGAGGAACACCGAUGGCGAAGGCAGCCCCCUGGGUCAAGAUUGACGCUCAUGCACGAAAGCGUGGGGAGCAAACAGGAUUAGAUACCCUGGUAGUCCACGCCCU